CGAUGGCGCUAUGCCAAGGCGGGAAAAGGUGAGGGAAACAAAUAUUUAUUUUGUCUAGACAGACUGUCAUUCAAUCGUGUAAAUAAUAACAAUUUAAUUGGCACUGGUUCCCUCUAUAAAUAUUAUCUGUUAGAAAAAUACUCCGCCGCCACUCGGUCGAUCGACACCAAAUAUUGUCCAGAUAAAUAUAAUUAACCUGUUGUGCCAAAUUGUCACUGCAUUUUGGCGCCACUGCCCGGCUGGUCUGAUUCUAGAUUCGGCGCUGAUAUAUUUAAUAAUAAAAAAAUUCCAUUAAUUAUAGGAAACUGCCUCCGAUCCGAGACAUUAAGACUUAUGGCCACAGUCUGCUAAAAUUUUCAUUUAAUAAUAUCUAAAAUUAAACCAAUAAAUAGUCUUAAAAAUUUUAACAAAGCAAAAAUAUUUCCGGCAUUAAUUAAAAACUUGCCUACCACCGUCGUUUUUCUCAUCUUAAAAUUGCAUUUUAUCAUAAAAUUAAAAUGGUCGGACACGACCAGAUUAUUGCCUAAAUAUUUUAAAACUUUAAUAUAGAGAAGACCGGGCUAAGAUGACCACCUUAACAUAUUUACUUAAUUAAUCAUUGGCCAGAUUGAAAGGAAACUUUAUUAUUUUCUACUUUCGAGAUAGUCGAAUGUAAUGUCGUGUUAGGGAAAUCAUAUGUCAAAUGUUUAUGGAGAUAAAAAGAAAGUAUAUUCAGACAAAGUCUCAAAAAUUCAUCUACUCCCAGGCCGGAGUAAGAUGACUAACCUGUUGUCUUUAUCACAAAUAAAUGUACGUACUGUAUUCUUCAUAGUUGGAGCAAUCUUGGUGCCACCAUUCUUUACAUUGGUUAAGAACAUAUUUCUCAUUCUCAUUAAGAAUACGUAAUAUGUUCUUAAUGAGAAUCUCUGCGUGGACAAGAAUCUUUUCAACUAAAUUUCCCCAGCUUUCUCGGUUUCCUGGUUAAAUCUACGCAAUCUACGCGAUAUGUUGUAAUAUAUUAUGAUGUGAGAAAAAAAAUCGAAAGCUUUCUGCCUCAGUUUUUGGUAGUUAGAUGACCAGCGUAAGGGGUAACGUAUUGGUCAUCAUCUGGCCCCGGUUAUGAAUUCUACUUUUAUGGGAGAAACUAGACGUGGCCAGGCUAUCGAUAAUAGAGACUAAACGGACAGACGCACACAUAUAGUACUAACCACGUAACUUUUAAAUAUAUAUGAUUGUGUUUAGGAUAAACUGUAUUUUAAUGGAGGGAAAUUUAUAUAGAGCCGAACAAAAACAUUGGUGAGGCUGUAGAAAUCAACUGUGGCCUUCCAUGGCUCUUUUUCAUCCUGUACCUACUGCGGCUUACAGUAUAGGCUGCGUGAACCACCAUCAAUGAACAAUUAUAUCAAAUAGGUCAUCUCCCUUACAGAAAUAAGCUGGAAGUAUCGGCAUAAAAUAAAAUUAUUUAACAUUUCUGUUAAAAGAAAUAUUCGCAGGAUAUCUUUUAGCUGAAAAAUCUUUUAAAAGUAUUAGAUUUCAGCACCAAUGUUUUAUGAUUAAUGAG
rnacentral:lncRNA from 1 species